GGACCCGCACAAGUAGUGGAGCAUGUGGUUUAAUUCGAAGAUACGCGCAGAACCUUACCAACACUUGACAUGUUCGUCGCGACUUUAAGAGAUUAAAGUUUUCGGUUCGGCCGGACGAAACACAGGUGCUGCAUGGUUGUCGUCAGCUCGUGCCGUGAGGUGUCAGGUUAAGUCCUAUAACGAGCGCAACCCCUAUCGUUAGUUGCCACCAUUUAGUUGGGCACUUUAAAAGAACUGCCAGUGAUAAGCUGGAGGAAGGUGGGGAUGACGUCAAGUCCUCAUGGCCCUUAUGUGUUGGGCUACACACGUGCUACAAUGGUCACCACAAUGGGUCGCGAACCCGCGAGGGG
rnacentral:rRNA from 1 species